CCUACGGGUGGCAGCAGUGAGGAAUAUUGGUCAAUGGACGAGCGUCUGAACCAGCCAAGUAGCGUGAAGGAUGACUGCCCUAUGGGUUGUAAACUUCUUUUAUAUGGGAAUAAAAUGUUCCACGUGUGGGAUUUUGUAUGUACCAUAUGAAUAAGGAUCGGCUAACUCCGUGCCAGCAGCCGCGGUAAUACGGAGGAUCCGAGCGUUAUCCGGAUUUAUUGGGUUUAAAGGGAGCGUAGGUGGAUUGUUAAGGCAGUUGUGAAAGUUUGCGGCUCAACCGUAAAAUUGCAGUUGAAACUGGCAGUCUUGAGUACAGUAGAGGUGGGCGGAAUUCGUGGUGUAGCGGUGAAAUGCUUAGAUAUCACGAAGAACUCCGAUUGCGAAGGCAGUUCACUGGACUGCAACUGACACUGAGGCUCGAAAGUGUGGGUAUCAAACAGGAUUAGAUACCCUUGUAGUC
rnacentral:rRNA from 1 species